GAUAUCUAGUUAAAUAAGUCAUUAUAAAUAGUUGCUCCGUGGGCUUUCCGCAUUUCACCCUGCUCCAGGCAGCGUGGUCUGUAUGGCUCCGCCCUGGGCAGGAGGAGAAAGAAGAGGGCCAGGCACCACGUGCCUGCACUCUCCCUGGAUGCUGGAGGCUGCUCCGCCGUGGGCAGGAGGAGAAGGAAGAGAACUGGGUGCCGCCUGCCUGCACUCUCUCCGGAUGCUGGAGGCUGGAGGCAGUGAGGCAGCAACAGCGCGAGGGCGAGGCGACUUUGGAGCUGCCUCAUGCAGCGACCUCGCCUUCCGCUGCGCCUCCUCCCAGAACCCAAGAAGCCUGGAACCUGUGGCGUCCAGCCCUGAAAGGAGGAGACGGCAACCCAGCCGCGCUUUUGCCUGCACUCUCCCUGGAUGCUGGAGGCUGGAGGCAGUGACGCAGCAACAGCGCGAGGCGACUUUGGAGCGGCCUCAUAUAGCGACCUCGCCUUCCGCUGCGCGUCCUCCCAGAGCCCAAGAAGCCCGGAACCUGUGGCAUCCAUCUCUGAAAGGAGAAGACGGCAACCCAGCCGAGGCACUACUGGGUUGGGGUCUCCACGACCGAGCUGGUCUCAUCAAGUGGCGUCCAACAAGGGGCUCAAACCCGGGUUGAGGGGUUGCUGGAGCGACGGAGAACGUGGAACUACACUGGAGGACACCAGAGUACUCUUAAGCAAUCCCUUGGCCAAAACCAGCAACUGAUUUGGAUACCAUCAAGACACCUGAAAUCUUGUCAUGAGCCAGAUACUGAGGAAGAGAUUUUGGGAAGAACCCAAGGACCCCCCAGUUGCAGCCAUGUCAAGACUGACAAUAAGGAAGACAUCAGUCCCAGCAAGCAACAUUCAUCGGGCACAGCCACCCAUGUGGGGCCAGAUCAAGAAGUUGACACAGAUGGCGGAAGAAAAUCUGAAGAAAGCGGAUGACCAGCUACAAUGAGUAAUCUAAUGUCUGCAGAUGUGGAUCCCGAAUCCUGCGAGAAGUAGCCCACCAUGACGAAGCUGCCUUUGCUUUUAUCGCUUUGCAAAAACAGAAAAGGGGACAUGCUGGGAACAGGCCCUAAGCCUGUCAUAAACAGGCCUUAAACUGACCAUGAACAGGAUUUCUGCACGAAUGUGACGUGCUCCUGAUGGCUAUGACGCCCACUGCUAGAAGUUGUUAGUUUACUGGAGCAGGGUAGGGAACACCUGGCCCACCCGGAGCGGAAAACUGCUCAAACCACAAACAACAGCAUGAGUGGCCUGAGCCUUAACAACAUGUUUUUGCUGCAGAUAAUCGGCCAGAGACUGUUUCUCUACUCCUCUCUAAGUAUGCUUUGUUUUUCGUAAGGAAUGCUUUUAGCUAAUCUGUAACCUAUAGAAACAAUGCUUAUCACUGGCUUGCUGUCAAUAAACAUGUGGGUCAAACUCUGUUUGUGGCUCUCAGCUCUCAAGGCUGUUUUCCCCCUGAUUCCCACUUUGCACUUUAUUUCUGUGUGUUUGUCUUCAUUCCUCUAGCACCACUGGGUUGGGGUCUCCUUGACCAAGCUGGUCUCGGCACAUAUGCAUGUAUGCCCAGGUCCUGAAAUCAGCCUUGUGGAGCCUGUGGGUAGGAAAAGUCAACCCUCUGUGCAUGUAGGCCUGGAACCUGACCAAUACUGUAUUUUCCUACCACGUUUGGUUUCAAAUGUGGAAACUGCCCAUACGGACCUACUGCAUUUGUUUUUAAAAAUCCUCUGUAAGUGGACCUGCACAGUUCAGGCCCAGAUUGUUCCAGGAUCAACCCUACAGUAGAAAUCAAGUAUCUUUUUCAUUGUCUCUUGGGAUCUGCCUUUUCACCAAUAAAAUAUGAGGGCUGUUGGGAGCAGGCCCCCCCAAAUCUGGCCAUAAACUGUCCCCAAAACUGGCCAUAAACAAAAUCUCUGCAGCACUAUAACAUGUUCAUAAUGGCCAUAACGCCCAAGUUGGAAGGUUGUGGAUUUACAGGAAUGAGGGCAAGGAACACCUGGCCUGCCCAGGGUGGAAAACCACUUAAAGGCAUUCUUAAGCCACAAACAAUAGCAUGAGUGAUCUGUGCCUUAAGAACAUGCUCCUGCUGCAGUUAACUAGCCCAACAUAUUCCUUUAAUUCAGUCCAUCCCUUCGUUUCCCAUAAGGGAUACUUUUAGUUAAUUUAAUAUCUAUAGAAAGAAUGCUAAUGACUGGUUUGCUGUUAAUAAAUACGUGGGUAAAUCUCUGUUUGGGGCUCUCAACUCUGAAGGCUGUGAGACCCCUGAUUUCCCACUUGACACCUCU
rnacentral:lncRNA from 1 species